rnacentral:rRNA from 1 species
AUGCUCGGAAGCAUCGACUGCAUGCAUUGGAAGUGGAAAAAUUGCCCUACUGCACACAAAGGUUUUUUUGUUGGCCAUAAACGCGUACCCACGGUCAUUCUUGAAGCCGUUGCUUCACAAGACUUUUGGAUUUGGCAUUCUUUCUUUGGUUUACCAGGAUCUCAUAAUGAUAUAAAUGUCCUCCACCGUUCACCCGUGUUUGCAAACCUAGUUGAAGGGCAUGCUCCAGAAGUGAAUUAUACCAUCAAUGGUCACAACUACAACACGGGGUAUUACCUUGCAGAUGGCAUAUAUCCGCAGUGGGCAACUUUUGUGAAGACAAUUCCAAAUCCCAAAGGUGAGAAGAACAAAAAUUUCUCCCGGUUUCAAGAAGCAUGUCGGAAGGAUGUCGAACGAGCCUUUGGUGUUCUGCAAGCUCGUUUUGCUAUUGUACGUGGACCGGCAAGGUAUUGGGAUCUGGAGACACUCGGAGAAGUGAUGACAGCUUGUAUCAUCCUGCAUAACAUGAUAAUAGAAGAUGAGCGUGGAAGUCGUGUAGACUACCGCUACGAUAACAUGGGAGAACUAGUGACACCUUCUCACCGAGAGGCGGCUACAUUGACUCAGUUUCUUCAAGCUCAGAGUGAUAUUCGAGACAAACAAGUUCAUUGUCAGCGGCAAGUUGAUCUAGUUGAGCACCCGUGGCAGAUCCGUGGACUGAUGUAG